GCGCCGCCGCCGUGCCCAGGCGUUAUGGCCUUGCGGGCGCCGCGGGCUGUUUCGGCGGGCGCUGGGGGUGGUCGUGUUGCCGAAGCGAUAACCCCGUUCCUGAGCUGGACGGGACCCCCGAUAACCAGAUUUAGGCCCUACGUCAUUCUUAGCUUUUGCAAGCGGUUCUUCACGACUCACUCAUUGAUAACGCUGCCUAUUCCUCCCGAGGACGGGCAGUAAUAAUGCUUAUCCCUUCCUUGACACGCCUAGAGAUCUACGGUGAAAAUUAAUUGCUUAAACUGCUGUAAAUCCACGUGUAGACUUGGAAGCGUUUGGCUGAGAUUUCAUUCUGUUUCUGUUUGGAUUUAUCUAAAUAGUAACGGACUGCAUCCCAAAUCAAAAUCCAAGCAGCAGUAGCACUGAGGUGUUUCCAAAUCCACCUACGUGUAACAGGGAGUCCGGAUCUCACAUCCUGGUUGAGUGCGACAGCUGCAGCCAUUGCUUGGAAUAAUACCUGCUAGCCCAAAGCCACAGUGAUGCCUCCGGGAAGGCUGACCAACAGACAAAGCAAAAAUGCUGGUAGUCUUCCAGCAAAAGCUGUCACAAGUUUUACCAAUGAUGUCAAUGCAACAGCUGGUCAGUGUAAUUCAGUGGAAGAAGAGGAAAAAGAAUCUGGAACAGAGUAUCAGACCCGUUUCUCAGCUGCGUAGCCAUUGCAGAAGAGUACUUUUCCAAAGGAAAGGUAAGCUGCUACCUGUGGGCAUGCACUGCUGCCUAAGAAAGUCUGAGAC
ensembl:lncRNA